GCGGCGACGUGGGUGGUUC
rnacentral:siRNA from 1 species